rnacentral:rRNA from 1 species
UACGUAGGGGCCGAGCGUUGUCCGGAGUUACUGGGCGUAAAGCGCGCGCAGGCGGCGCAUCGCGCCCGGCGUGAAAGCCCCCGGCUCAACCGGGGAGGGUCGUCGGGGGACGGGUGCGCUUGAGGACGGCAGGGGCAGGUGGAAUUCCCGGUGUAGUGGUGAAAUGCGUAGAGAUCGGGAGGAACACCAGAGGCGAAGGCGGCGACCUGGACAGAUACUGACACUCAACUACGAAAGCGUGGGGAGCAAACAGG